UGACCGCUGGCGGCAGGCCUACCACAUGCAAGUCGACCGGUAACAGGAAGAAGCUUGCUUCUUUGCUGACGAGUGGCGGACGGGUGAGUAAUGUCUGGGAAACUGCCUGAUGGAGGGGGAUAACUACUGGAAACGGUAGCUAAUACCGCAUAACGUCGCAAGAUCAAAAAGGGGGACCUUCGGGCCUCUUGCCAUCGGAUGUGCCCAGAUGGGAUUAGCUAGUAGGUGGGGUAACGGCUCGCCUAGGCGACGAUCCCUAGCUGGUCUGAGAGGAUGACCAGCCACACUGGAACUGAGACACGGUCCAGACUCCUACGGGAGGCAGCAGUGGGGAAUAUUGCACAAUGGGCGCAAGCCUGAUGCAGCCAUGCCGCGUGUAUGAAGAAGGCCUUCGGGUUGUAAAGUACUUUCAGCGGGGAGGAAGGGAGUAAAGUUAAUACCUUUGCUCAUUGACGUUACCCGCAGAAGAAGCACCGGCUAACUCCGUG
rnacentral:rRNA from 1 species